CAUGUAGGCGGCUGAGUAAGUCGGAGGUGAAAGCCACGGGCCUAACCCGUGAACUGCCUCGGAAACUGCUCAGCUCGAGGGCUGGAGGGGAAAGUGGAAUUUCGGGUGUAGCGGUGAAAUGCGUAGAUAUCCGAGAGAACACCGAUGGCGAAGGCAGCUUUCUGGCCAGUUCCUGACGCUGAGAUGCGAAAGCUAGGGGAGCGAACG
rnacentral:rRNA from 1 species